CAUAUCUCCUCUCCUCAAUCUCGUUGUGUUCCCGUCAAAUCUCUCCAUCGCCCAAAUGUCGUCAGCCUCUUAUCCACGCCACGGGAAUCAUGCACCGCCGCCGGGAAGCCCACCGUAUCCGGCCUCCCCUGAUGCACCCCCUCCUCCACGGCUCAGUCGGUCCGUAUCCCACGUUGCGGGAGCCAGGAGCGACAGUGCUAAGCGAGCGGGGCCGGGCGAGGCCGGCAGGGGCGCUAGAUCUGAAGAACGCCACGGGAGGCGCGUCGGGCAGGGAGAACCAUGGCCCGUGGAGUCGAGCGGCGGUCAGUGAAGGCCAGCAAGCAGUGGAGUCCAGCGACGACCUUGCGGAGGAGCAGAGUUGUUGAUGGAACAGAUGAUGAACUCUGUGAACAGAUGGAUGAAAAUCUAUGAAGUUGGAGGUCUGAGUGCAUCGCAUGAACAUGCAUCACGUCUUCAUGAAAGACCAAUUGUGAGCUGGCUAUGGUCUGCUGGAUGUAAGAUGCAAUGCUGCUCAAACCCAAAGUCUCCAGUGCAAAUCUUCAGCCACGACUGUCAAACGAUCUGAUCCCAAAGCGAAAGUUCAAGGGCCUAAACUGGACGAUGGAAGCGGUGGGUUCCAUUUCGGCAAAGUAGGCGGCGGUGAUGGAGGGGUGGUGGCGGCAGCAACUGUUCCUUCUCUAGACCAUCGUGGUGCUCCUGGAUUACCUCAAGGAGUUUGAGAACUACUACCUGCUUGCUCGAACGAAUUUUGCCGGAUAUAUAUGACGAUGCGGGCUACGAUACGAGUGGUGGGAAGCUAGGGCAAUCAUCAUGAGUCUUGUUAGUUGUAGACUCUGUGCGAUGCGCGAGAUUUUAAAUGGUUGUUUCUUAGUCUAGAAGUGCAUGAGUGAACUGUGUCCUGAUUGGUUAUGCUAUGUGUCCUUGUCUUGUAAACAUGUAUGUUGACCGAUGAAAAGCUCAAAAUGUUAUAGGAUUGAGUCUGAGAUGCUGAAACUUGAUGCCAUUUGGCGCUGUGCAUAAACAUAAGGAGGAAAUAUAUGUGCAACUGAGGUUUUGCUCUUAAA